GACGAACGCUGGCGGCGCGCCUAACACAUGCAAGUCGAACGAGCGAGAGAGAGCUUUCUUUCUCAAGCGAGUGGCGAACGGGUGAGUAACGCGUGAGGAACCUGCCCCAACGAUGGGGACAACAUUUGGAAACGACGGCUAAUACCGCAUAAGCCCACGACCCGGCAUCGGGUAGAUGGAAAAGUAGCGAUCCGCUGUGAGCUGGCCUCGCGUCCGAUUGGCUGGGUGGGGAGGUAACGGCCCACCAAGGCGACGAGGGGUAGCCGGGCGGGGGGGCUGCCCGAUCACGUCGGGACUGAGGCACGGACCCGUCUCCUACGCGACGGAGGAGUAGAGUAUACUGCACGAUGAAGCAAAACCUGGUGCAGCGACGUCGGGUAGAGGGAGCAGCUGUUCGGAUUCUACUCUCCUGUUGUUGAGGAAGUGAGUGACGGUACUCAAUAAGGAAGUGCCGGCUAACUACGUG
rnacentral:rRNA from 1 species